GAAUCUGGCCUCAGGUCCGGGACAACCAUUGGAAACGGUGGCUAAUACCGGAUGUGCCUAAUGGUGAAAGAUUAAUUGCCUGAGGAUGAGCUCGCGUCUGAUUAGCUAGUUGGUGGGGUAAAAGCCUACCAAGGCGACGAUCAGUAACUGGUCUGAGAGGAUGACCAGUCACACUGGGACUGAGACACGGCCCAGACUCCUACGGGAGGCAGCAGUGGGGAAUUUUCCGCAAUGGGCGAAAGCCUGACGGAGCAAUACCGCGUGAGGGAGGAAGGCUCUUGGGUUGUAAACCUCUUUUCUCAGGGAAGAAAAAUGACGGUACCUGAGGAAUCAGCAUCGGCUAACUCCGUGCCAGCAGCCGCGGUAAUACGGAGGAUGCAAGCGUUAUCCGGAAUUAUUGGGCGUAAAGCGUCUGUAGGUGGACGUUCAAGUCUGCUGUCAAAGACCGGGGCUUAACCCUGGAAAGGCGGUGGAAACUGAAAGCCUAGAGUGCGGUAGGGGUAGAGGGAAUUCCCAGUGUAGCGGUGAAAUGCGUAGAGAUCAGGAAGAACAUCGGUGGCGAAGGCGCUCUGCUGGACCAUAACUGACACUCAGGGACGAAAGCUAGGGGAGCG
rnacentral:rRNA from 1 species